AAAGACCCUAUGAAGCUUUACUGUAACUUGAAAUUGAAGUUGGACUUUACUUGCGCAGUAUAGGUGGGAGGCGUUGAUAAUAUUCUUGUGGGAAUAUUGGAGCCAUCAGUGAGAUACCACUCUGGUAAUGUUAGAUUUCUAACUUUGUAUCAUUAUCUGGUCAAAGAACAGUUUCAGGCGGGCAGUUUGACUGGGGCGGUCGCCUCCUAAACGGUAACGGAGGCGCACAAAGGUUUCCUCUGAACGGGUAGAAAUCGUAUCUAGAGUGUAAAGGCAUAAGGAAGCUUGACUGUGAGACCUACAAGUCGAGCAGGGACGAAAGUCGGUCUUAGUGAUCUGACGGUGCUGAGUGGAAAGGCCGUCACUCAACGGAUAAAAGUUACUCUAGGGAUAACAGGCUGA
rnacentral:rRNA from 1 species